rnacentral:lncRNA from 1 species
AUACUAACCACGAGUUACUAAUCAUAGUUACAUCGCAAAGAUUAUAUCUCCCGGGAAAACAAGAUGCCAUGGUAAAAGCUUUGUAUAAUUGUGUCAUCGGGUUUCUCGGAAGGCAUCUCUUCUUCUUACCGUUCAAAAAAGGACCGACUGUUCAGAAUCAGACGCAAGGUGGCACCUUGGUACAGUCACGUAAGCGAUGUGUUUCUUAGUCACAUGCAUGGACGCCAUCCACGUUGGACUCCUUGAUGAAGACAACACCAUCUUCCAAGGCAUACAUGCCUAGUCAGAAAACAGAAGCAAAACAAUUUAAAUGAGUAACACAAUCGUGCAGUAAUACAACACGGUGAAUGGGUUCGAAUGCCAAUUAGGUUCGGCAGAGGGUGAUCGACAUGAUCAAUGGACAUCAAUAGCACAUCAUGAUUGAAUUGUAAAGAAUACAGUAAUCGGUGAAAGGGCAAAAUCUUAGCAACACGGAACUGCAGAACUGAUUAAUAUUAAGAACAAGCUUUGCGCACAUAGAUGAUUGCUUUAACGAUGACCAGCUUAAUCACUUGGAGAAAAAGAACCAAGUCACUCAUCCAGGUAUUAUAUGGGAAAAAAGGUCAUCGAAUCAGGUUGGUUUUUAGGCGAUCCUCCUCCACUUCUGCUCAAACGCGCUGCAAAUCUUGUUGAAGCAGCAUGCCGCACUCAGAGGGUAUUC